rnacentral:rRNA from 1 species
UACAGAGGGGGCAAGCGUUAUUCGGAAUUAUUGGGCGUAAAGGGCGCGUAGGCGGCCUGGCAAGUGGAAGGUGAAAUCCCUCGGCUUAACCGAGGAACUGCCCUCCAAACUGCUUGGCUUGAGUCCGGGAGAGGUGAGUGGAAUUCCCAGUGUAGCGGUGAAAUGCGUAGAUAUUGGGAGGAACACCGAUGGCGAAGGCAGGUCUCUGGGCUGACACUGACGCUCAUGCACGAAAGCGUGGGGAGCAAACAGG